CAGUCACAUCGUGCUGAAAUUCCGGUUCCCAUCCAAUCACAGAAGUUAAGCAACAUCAAGCCUGGUCAGUACCUGGAUGGGAGACUGCUUAGGAAUACCAGAUGUGGUAA